rnacentral:rRNA from 1 species
AGAGUUUGAUCCUGGCUCAGGAUGAACGCUGGCGGCGUGCUUAACACAUGCAAGUCGAACGAACCUUCGGGUUAGUGGCGGACGGGUGAGUAACGCGUGAGAAUCUGCCCUCAGGAGGGGGACAACAGCUGGAAACGGCUGCUAAUACCCCAUAUGCCGCGAGGUGAAAUGAGUUUCGCCUGAGGAUGAGCUCGCGUGCUAUUAGCUAGUUGGUGGGGUAAAGGCCUACCAAGGCGAUGAUGGCUAGCCGGCCUGAGAGGGUGUACGGCCACACUGGAACUUAGACACGGUCCAGACUCCUACGGGAGGCAGCAGUGAGGAAUAUUGCGCAAUGGGCGAAAGCCUGACGCAGCGACGCCGCGUGAGGGAUGAAGGUUUUAGGAUCGUAAACCUCUGUUAAGUGGGAAGAAAAGUUAGAUUUUAAUAGAGUCUAAUCAUGACGGUACCAUUAGAGAAAGCACCGGCUAACUUCGUGCCAGCAGCCGCGGUAAUACGAGGGGUGCAAACGUUAUUCGGAAUUAUUGGGCGUAAAGGGUGUGCAGGCGGUAUUUUAAGUCUACUGUUAAAGAUCUCGGCCUAACC